ensembl:lncRNA
UAAGAUGUUUGACUCAAAGAGGGAAGGUCCUGCGUUCGAUUCUCCCGUUCUGCCGCGUCACCUGUAGGCGUCCUUGUGGGGGGUGGAUAACGUCGUCUGGUGGCUCUCUAAAUGGCCGUCCCUCAGGUUUAGGGCACGUUCUGACUGCUUGCUUUGUAUUUUAAUAGUUUUUUUAUUUGUUAUCUAAUCUUUCCAGAACGGUGUCUCCACCUCCUCAGCCUUCUCUGCUCCCAGGGUGCAGACCGGUGACGCGUCGUCCAGCACUGCUACGAUAACGGCCAAGCCAACCAAUGGGGUCAGCUCUACCAACGGCCACGGCGCCAAGGCCCCGGUCUCUGACAUCUCCCACCUGGUCCGGAAGGUGAGGAAGGAGAGGAAACCAGAGCAGAGUCCGGCGAAGGAGGGCUCGACCAAGAGGCUGAAGCCGGAGGAGCUGAAGGCGUAGGCCACCACCACGGAGCUGGAGAGAUUUCAGGCAGUGACGUGGACCUGCUGUCCUGGGUCGAUCGUGGACCUGCUGUCCUGGGUCGAUCGUGGACCUGCUGUCCUGGGUCGAUCGUGG